GCCUUCGUGGUGUAAUGGUCAGCACACUCGGCGCGUAUUCGAGAGGUUUGUGGUUCGAGUCCCGGUGAGGGCA
rnacentral:tRNA from 1 species